GUUACCUACAAGCACGUCUCGA
rnacentral:miRNA from 1 species